AAAGUCGAAAAGUCGGGCAAAUGUUCAACAUAAGUCGGGCGAAGAGUGGGACAUUAAAAAGCCAAAUAAGUAGUGAAAGCAAUCAAAUCUCUCUUAAUAAUAACCCCAGCUUGUUGGGCAAACAAAGCCAGUUGGGCAAUAUUCGCUUCACAGUCGGGCAAUAUUGGGUUAUUAUAAAAAUAAAUGGGAUAAAUUCUGUCAAUUUUGUGGGAAAUUCUGUCAAUUUUGUGAUGUUUGGAAAAUUAGUUUGAUCUUCCGAAAAAUGUUG